rnacentral:rRNA from 1 species
UGGGGAAUUUUGGACAAUGGGGGAAACCCUGAUCCAGCCAUCCCGCGUGUGCGAUGAAGGCCUUCGGGUUGUAAAGCACUUUUGGCAGGAAAGAAACGUCGCGGGUUAAUACCCCGCGAAACUGACGGUACCUGCAGAAUAAGCACCGGCUAACUACGUGCCAGCAGCCGCGGUAAUACGUAGGGUGCAAGCGUUAAUCGGAAUUACUGGGCGUAAAGCGUGCGCAGGCGGUUCGGAAAGAAAGAUGUGAAAUCCCAGAGCUUAACUUUGGAACUGCAUUUUUAACUACCGGGCUAGAGUGUGUCAGAGGGAGGUGGAAUUCCGCGUGUAGCAGUGAAAUGCGUAGAUAUGCGGAGGAACACCGAUGGCGAAGGCAGCCUCCUGGGAUAACACUGACGCUCAUGCACGAAAGCGUGGGGAGCAAACAGGAUUAGAUACCCUGGUAGUCCACGCCCUAAACGAUGUCAACUAGCUGUUGGGGCCUUCGGGCCUUGGUAGCGCAGCUAACGCGUGAAGUUGACCGCCUGGGGAGUACGGUCGCAAGAUUAAAACUUAAAUGAAUUGACGGGGGUCAU